UACGUAGGGUGCAAGCGUUGUCCGGAAUUAUUGGGCGUAAAGAGCUCGUAGGCGGUUCGUCGCGUCGGCUGUGAAAACCUGAGGCUCAACCUCAGGCCUGCAGUCGAUACGGGCGGACUUGAGUACUGCAGGGGAGACUGGAAUUCCUGGUGUAGCGGUGAAAUGCGCAGAUAUCAGGAGGAACACCGGUGGCGAAGGCGGGUCUCUGGGCCGAUACCGAGCGUGGAGGAGCGAAAGCGUGGGGAGCGAAACAGG
rnacentral:rRNA from 1 species